GUUUCUUUAGCUCAUGGAAAAAAGCACGAGUAAACGAUCAGUUAACCGGAUGGUUCUGCAUUGACGGUUCUGUAUUGGGUGCAUGAUAAUAUGAUCAAGAUAGAUGAAAGAGUGUCUCUUUCUGCAGCUGGAGAUGGUUAUAUUGCAAAGAAAAGAGUUUUGGCUACCAGCCUAAGGAACGGAUUUCGGUUCACCGCCUUUCUCCAGUAUCAUUGCUGAUUGCAGCUGCGAUUUUGGAACUGUUAAGUUUGCGUAAAGAUCAAGAAGCUGCUCAUAAGUAGUUUCAAAGAAACCAGUGUAUCCAUCUUCUAAGCCGGGAAAAGACUUAUACAAGCUGAACCAAAGAAGCACAUUCCUCGUAUAGCUCCAGAGGUUUUGAAUGUGCAAGAGAAGGAUGAAAAGGUAGAUGGAGAUGCAUGUAUCUAUGAGCAAGUUUUCCAUAGUAAGGAUGAGGACAUGAGGCAAGCCAUGAACAAAUGAAUCAUUCGUGAACUGAUAAAUCUCUCUCUGUCUUAUUUUUAACAGCUUAUCUUUUUGUCAUUAAUUUUGACAGAGAAUGUACUUUCUCAGCUGAUUUUGGGUUUGACAGGCAGACUUGAAAAUGAUAGAGCUGUCUACAGAGGAGAAAAAGCUAGGGACUAAAUACAUGAAGAAUAUUUUGUCUUAAAAUUAAGUUAAAGUGAUUCCUUGGUUAAAUCAUUGUCACAUGAAAGAUGUGUUCAUAGAAGUGUAUGCGGUGUUAUCUUUCUUUGUCGAACAUCUCUAUAGACUAUCAUUUUCAACUACUACCAAAGUAAAACUUGGAAGCUAAGAGAAAAAUUGUACAUGCUAUAAUUCAAUAAAGUUUUAGAUAUUAUCCAUUA